CUAGCAAUGAUGAAAAGCGCAGGGGUACGUACCUCAGCUGAUAAUGGGAGCUGAGUGUUGGUGUUCUCAGCUCAGUGGGCAUGUGGUCUGCCGACACGAUACAGACGCCUGACUGAGUCUUG
rnacentral:snoRNA from 13 species